GUGCUUGCUUCAGUAGCACAUAUCCUAAAAUUGGAAUGAUACAGAGAAGAUUAGCAUGGCCCUGUGUAAGGAUCACAUGCAAAUUUGUGAAGCGUUCCAUAAUUUU